ensembl:miRNA
GAAAUGCCUCCUUGAGAUCCAGCUGUAAGGCAUUUUCUCAAUUAGUGAUAAAUGGGGUAGGGCCCAGACCGUGGUGGGUGGUGCCAUUCCUGGGCUGGUGGUCCUG